UACGAAGGGGGCUAGCGUUGUUCGGAAUUACUGGGCGUAAAGCGUACGUAGGCGGCUUUGCAAGUUAGAGGUGAAAGCCUGGAGCUCAACUCCAGAACUGCCUUUAAAACUGCAUCGCUUGAAUCCAGGAGAGGUGAGUGGAAUUCCGAGUGUAGAGGUGAAAUUCGUAGAUAUUCGGAAGAACACCAGUGGCGAAGGCGGCUCACUGGACUGGUAUUGACGCUGAGGUACGAAAGCGUGGGGAGCAAACAGG
rnacentral:rRNA from 1 species